GACGAACGCUGGCGGCGUGCUUAACACAUGCAAGUCGAACGGAAAGGCCCUGCUUUUGUGGGGUGCUCGAGUGGCGAACGGGUGAGUAACACGUGAGUAACCUGCCCUUGACUUUGGGAUAACUUCAGGAAACUGGGGCUAAUACCGGAUAGGAGCUCCUGCUGCAUGGUGGGGGUUGGAAAGUUUCGGCGGUUGGGGAUGGACUCGCGGCUUAUCAGCUUGUUGGUGGGGUAGUGGCUUACCAAGGCUUUGACGGGUAGCCGGCCUGAGAGGGAGACCGGCCACAUUGGGACUGAGGUACGGCCCAGACUCCUACGGGAGGCAGCAGUGGGGAAUAGUGCACAAUGGGCGGAAGCCUGAUGCAGCAACGCCGCGUGCGGGAUGACGGCCUUCGGGUUGUAAACCGCUUUCGCCUGUGACGAAGCGUGAGUGACGGUAAUGUGUAAAGAAGCACCGGCUAACUACGUG
rnacentral:rRNA from 1 species